CUCCCCAAAUCUCUUCAGCUUUCGAUCAACAAUGGCAGAUAACUCCACUCAGACUACCACCCCUACCACUCUCUCCACAGGGGUACCCACAUUGACCCCUUAUCAACCCACAACUGGAACUACACCGUUUGCCGCCACCAUUUCCCAAAACCCAAAAAACACAACAACCCCAAAACACCACCACUAUUGUCGUCAUUACUACCACCAUUCCCUCACAAACAUCCCCGCCCUCAUCCACAAGCACCCCUUCUCCAACGCCAAACCCUGUUGAAAUUACAGAAAUGAGAAUAAGAAAUUAUUACUCAUCGAAAAAGUCCUAUACACACAUCAAUACUCGAUCGACAGUAUAAACUUACCAACUACCCAUCAUCCGUAAAAAAU
rnacentral:lncRNA from 1 species